rnacentral:tRNA from 1 species
AUGCUAUGGGUAGCUCAGUUGGUUAGAGCGGGGUGCUGAUAACACCAAGGUUGCAGGUUUGAUCCCCAUAUGGGAUA